CCCCGGGCGCGGCGCGGCGCGGAGCGGAGCGGAGCGGAGCGGAGCGGGCUGGGCUCGGGCUGGGUCCGCGCCCGGCGCCGCCGCUGCGCCCUCCCGGCUGCGAGUCCGCCCGGCUCC
rnacentral:miRNA from 12 species